rnacentral:lncRNA from 1 species
UUUUUUUUCUUCAAUGUUUUGCUUGUGUGCUUUUCUGUUGUUAUUAAGUGCUGUCGUUUUAAUGCUGCCUGAUGAAAUCACUGGCUAUCUAGUGUCAAGUAAAAGUGGAAUGAAACACUUUAGCUGCUUUGCUUUUAAAGUCUUGUUGAAGCACGGCAGUUACCUAUGUUUGGAUAGAGGGAAGGAGAAGAGAAAAAGAAAUUUGGGAAAUUUCGUCUUUCUCUCUGUUUCGUUGGGAGGGACAGAAAAAGAACAACGUCAAAACUUUCAAUUGGAUAGUUUCACUGCAAGACUGAAAGGAGGAGAAAUUCGGUUGUUUUCAAUUUGAUCUUAUAACUAUGUUUCAAUUUGUAAGUUUUGCCCUGUGCUUUCUGCCUGUACUGUGAAAUGAUUGGAUUUGGAAUGAUGGCACAUGCUCAACCUUCCCCUCCUUUCAUUGAUUUUUCGAGCCAAACUGGAGAAAUUCCUUCAUACCUCCUUCCCUCUCAUUAAUUUUUUUAAGCCAAUCACUGUUUUUUGCAUUUUUCAGUAUCAUAUUUAGACCCUUUUUUGGCUUAAGACAUGCUAAAGAGGUGGCGCUUUCUUCUAUUUGAAGUUUGAACCUCAUUGGAUAAAUUUUGAGAAACUUGCAAACAAGGUUUUAGCCUGCAAAGAAUCUUGCAACUGGGAUUCUGUACUGUCAUAAUUGUUGAUAAGACAAGAGUUGAUGAAUCUUUUGUAUGCAAUUUACAAUUUUGGCAUUAUGGCUUAUGCAUUACAUACAUGAUAAUUAUUUACUUCUUGAUGCUGAUAUGCUAGUAUCUGAGCAGAUGGCCUCCCUUGCAACCUAUUUUGGCCUUGGACAGC